UUAGUUUAUCAUGCACAAAACUAAAACUAAUCAGGGUUUGUAAUGAAAUCUAAACAAAGUUAAGUUAUAUUUUGUUUGACUGUUGAGACCAGAAACGUGUUGGUCUUCAUAAAGCUAUAUAUGUAUAUUUACGUUCGCGACAAUCUAAAAUGGCCCAAACUAAUAACGGCAAACAGCCGAGGACCAUACAGGAGCCCAUACAAUAAAAUACAAUAGCAUAACUGCCUGACAAAUCUCUUAGGAAUCCCGCUAAAGGUGGCACUGAUAUGGCACCAAUACUUUGAAACAUGCGCACUAAACCAUAACUGGAACUUAUGCGAUCGGUGCCGAAGAUAUCCGCCAACAAAACUGGCAUCAAAACAUACCAGCUGCCUAAACAGAAACCAUAAAUGGCAGCCGAUAGACCCACCAGAUAAAUGGUGUAUUCCGAUGGUAUGUUACAACUAUUUAAUGGAAAGUUUUACAACGGCAAUGUAGAACCUCGCGUUCAAAAGGUCGAACUCUUGAAGGUAAUGUUUUAAAUACACGGAAGUUUUCCAGUUUCUCCUACCAAGCGAGCGUCCCAC